UGCGCGUGUUGGUGUGUGUGCAAGAGCGUAAAAUAUUUAUGCGUGUGUGCACUGCGCUUCACAUUUAACUUUAGCGCUGAUUCCGUUUUCGACUUCUAGUGAGCGCACGUCAGAGCGAACGGUGCUCUGGUGUGGGUUGCUGUCGACGUCGCGGCGUACGCUCUUACUCUCGCUCUCCCUCUCUCUCUUGCAGUGUCGGUGGUGGGUUUCGUGUAUUUGUUUGGACUUUGUCGUUAACGGUUCGUUCUCCCGUUCGCUCGUUCGCUCGUUGUGUUUUUUUGCGGUUUGCUUUUGAAUAAAAAAUAAAAAAUAAAUAAAAUAAUUGAUUAAAUAAAAAAAUAUUAUUAAUGAAGCAUAACGGUUGAACCGAAACUCUUAAAUAUAACACGCGUUGAAACAAAGUAGUAAAUCAAAUUUAUGCUGUACAAAACAAAACAAAAUAAAUACAAAUUGUUAAACACAAGUGCAAUUGAAAAAAAAUAUAUUUAGAUAAAACAAAGUGCAAAUGCAUUGUAGCUGAAAAAA